AAUAAAUAUAGUUUUGUACUAUUCACGUUCAACGUUUGACCAUUCGUCUUAUUUAAAAUUUUUUUAUGAUUAAUAUUUUUAUUGCUAUUAGAUGAUAAAACAUGAAUAUUACUUUAUGUGUGACUAAAUAUUUUUAAAUUUUUCAAAUAAGAUGGACGGUCAAACGUGGGGCACGGAUAUCCACGAAUGCAUUUAUU
rfam:Oryza sativa Japonica Group DNA, chromosome 1, cultivar: Nipponbare, complete sequence.